rnacentral:misc_RNA from 1 species
UACGGAGGGUGCGAGCGUUAAUCGGAAUUACUGGGCGUAAAGCGCACGUAGGCGGUCUGGCAAGUCGGAUGUGAAAGCCCAGGGCUUAACCUUGGAAUUGCAUUCGAUACUGUCAGACUCGAGUUUGGUAGAGGAAGGCGGAAUUCCGGGUGUAGCGGUGAAAUGCGUAGAUAUCCGGAGGAACACCAGUGGCGAAGGCGGCCUUCUGGACUAGAACUGACGCUGAGGUGCGAAAGCGUGGGGAGCAAACAGG